rnacentral:rRNA from 1 species
AGUGAACGCUGGCGGUAGGCCUAACACAUGCAAGUCGAACGGCAGCACAGUAAGAGCUUGCUCUUACGGGUGGCGAGUGGCGGACGGGUGAGGAAUACAUCGGAAUCUACUUUUUCGUGGGGGCUAACGUAGGGAAACUUACGCUAAUACCGCAUACGACCUACGGGUGAAAGCCGGGGAUCUUCGGACCUUGCGCGAUUGAAUGAGCCGAUGUCGGAUUAGCUAGUUGGCGGGGUAAAGGCCCACCAAGGCGACGAUCCGUAGCUGGUCUGAGAGGAUGAUCAGCGACACUGGAACUGAGACACGGUCCAGACUCCUAAGGGAGGAAGCAGUGGGGAAUAUUGGACAAUGGGCGCAAGCCUGAUCCAGCCAUACCGCGUGGGUGAAGAAGGACUUCGGGUUGUAAAGCCCUUUUGUUGGGAAAGAAAAGCAGCAGGUUAAUACCCCGCUGUUCUGACGGUACCCAAAGAAUAAGCACCGGCUAACUUCGUG